UACGGGAGGCAGCAGUGGGGAAUAUUGCACAAUGGGCGCAAGCCUGAUGCAGCCAUGCCGCGUGUAUGAAAAAGGCCUUCGGGUUGUAAAGUACUUUCAGUCGUGAGGAAAGGUGUUAAGGUUAAUAACCUUAGCAAUUGACGUUAGCGACAGAAGAAGCACCGGCUAACUCCGUGCCAGCAGCCGCGGUAAUACGGAGGGUGCGAGCGUUAAUCGGAAUUACUGGGCGUAAAGGGCACGCAGGCGGUUAAUUAAGUUGGAUGUGAAAUCCCCGGGCUUAACCUGGGAAUGGCAUUCAAGACUGGUUAGCUAGAGUCUUGUAGAGGGGGUAGAAUUCCAUGUGUAGCGGUGAAUGCGUAGAGAUGUGGAGGAAUACCGGUGGCGAAGGCGGCCCCUGGACAAAGACUGACGCUCGAUGUGCGAAAGCGUGGGGAGCAAACAGGGAUUAGAUACC
rnacentral:rRNA from 1 species